rnacentral:rRNA from 1 species
AUUGAACGCUGGCGGCAGGCCUAACACAUGCAAGUCGAGCGGAUGAAGGGAGCUUGCUCCUGGAUUCAGCGGCGGACGGGUGAGUAAUGCCUAGGAAUCUGCCUGGUAGUGGGGGAUAACGUCCGGAAACGGGCGCUAAUACCGCAUACGUCCUGAGGGAGAAAGUGGGGGAUCUUCGGACCUCACGCUAUCAGAUGAGCCUAGGUCGGAUUAGCUAGUUGGUGGGGUAAAGGCCUACCAAGGCGACGAUCCGUAACUGGUCUGAGAGGAUGAUCAGUCACACUGGAAAUGGGACACGGUCCAGACUCCUACGGGAGGCAGCAGGGGGGAAUUUUGGAAAAUGGGCGAAAGCGUGAUCCAGCCAUGCCGGGGGUGUGAAGAAGGGUUUCGGAUUGUAAAGCACUUUAAGUUGGGAGGAAGGGCAGUAAGUUAAUACCUUGCUGUUUUGACGUUACCAACAGAAUAAGCACCGGCUAACUUCGU